rnacentral:rRNA from 1 species
UGGGGAAUUUUGGACAAUGGGGGCAACCCUGAUCCAGCCAUGCCGCGUGAGUGAAGAAGGCCUUCGGGUUGUAAAGCUCUUUCGGCCGGAACGAAAUCGGGUACGUGAAUAGCGUGCCUGGAUGACGGUACCGGAGUAAGAAGCACCGGCUAACUACGUGCCAGCAGCCGCGGUAAUACGUAGGGUGCGAGCGUUAAUCGGAAUUACUGGGCGUAAAGCGUGCGCAGGCGGUUCGCUAAGUCAGACGUGAAAGCCCCGGGCUUAACCUGGGAAUGGCGUUUGAAACUGGCGGGCUGGAGUACGGCAGAGGGGGGUGGAAUUCCACGUGUAGCAGUGAAAUGCGUAGAUAUGUGGAGGAACACCGAUGGCGAAGGCAGCCCCCUGGGCCGAUACUGACGCUCAUGCACGAAAGCGUGGGGAGCAAACAGGAUUAGAUACCCCCGUAGUCC